AGGAAUUAUGGGUUUCGUUGUCAGUGUCUGAGGGAGGAGCAUGCCUAUUGCCUUUUGCCGCUUUUGUCCUGUCACGUCCUCUUUCCUAACGUUUCGAUUCUUGCCAGGGGCGUUUUUGCAAGUCAAGCUCCUCUGACUUGUGGGCCCGUGUGCGUGGCAGCUCCUCAAGCGUCCUGCCAGCAAGCAACUCAUGCGAUGCGACAAGCUCACAAGUCGACAUGGCUCACAAGUCACAAGAUGGGAGUGCCUUUCACCUGCCAAGUGGGACUACACGGCUGUGCCCCACCGGCUAGUUCAAACCCA
rnacentral:lncRNA from 1 species